UACGGGGGGGGCAAGCGUUGUUCGGAAUUACUGGGCGUAAAGGGCUCGUAGGUGGCCAACUAAGUCAGACGUGAAAUCCCUCGGCUUAACCGGGGGAACUGCGUCUGAUACUGGAUGGCUUGAGUUUGGGAGAGGGAUGCGGAAUUCCAGGUGUAGCGGUGAAAUGCGUAGAUAUCUGGAGGAAUACCGGUGGCGAAGGCGGCAUCCUGGACCGGCAUUGACGCUGAGGAGCGAAAGCCAGGGGAGCAAACGGGAUUCA
rnacentral:rRNA from 1 species